rnacentral:ribozyme from 12 species
AAAAACAAAAAAAAAAAAAAAAAAUACCAAGCAAAAAUGCAUGUUUAGAAUAAUUCU